rnacentral:tRNA from 1 species
UCUAAUAUGGCAGAUUAGUGCAAUGAAUUUAAGAUUCAUAUAUAAAAUAAAUUAUUUUUAUUAGAA